ensembl:lincRNA
AGCUCCCGUGCCGGGCCGGGGCGGGAAGUCCGUCCUGGCGUCUGCCCCGCGUGAGGCCUGCUGCCAGGAACCCGAGCCUGCGGGGAAGGACGGAGGGGGACGGAGCCCGAGCUCUCCGCAAUGAAAAGUGGACUCAAGCAGGGCUGUGGGGCGGGGAGAGGGGAGUGAGGCCGAGAGCCGGCUGAGAGGCCAGGGGGAGACCGGCAGAGGAGGAGACGGGGCUAAUUUAAGGAAAGUCAGGUAGAGAGACCGAAAGAGACUGGCAGGAAUGGAGGGGCAGAAAGACGAGGGGACUCGGAGACAGGGAGAGACAACCCCAGAUGUCGCUGUUGUUGCUGUGUGUUUUCCAGCACUGGGGAUUGAACCCAGGGCUUUCACACGGAGCUACAUCUCUUGCCCUUUCUUAUGUUCUAUUCGGAGACAAGGUCUUGCUCAGUCGCUUAAUUGCCCAGGCUGGACUGGAAUUUGUGAUCCUCCUGCCUCAGCCUCCCCGAGUGCUGGGAUUACAGGCGUUCACCCCCGAGCCGGGCUAACACCCCGUUAAGGCCCAGAGGAGAAGACGGAGCUGUCGGACAAGAGUUGGAACCUGGGAGACAAAGAUAGAGACAGUGAGAGACCAAUCGAGUAGCAGAGAUGCGGAAAGCAGACGGGCGACUCCGAAGCCAGGGAGAUGGAGUCAAAGUGGGGGACAGAGAUGUAGGAGAGGAGAUGGGGAGGGACGGACCCUGCGGGAUCCGGGCCGGGCCGCGCCCCGCCCAACCCCCUCACCGCGGCGGCGGCGCGGGCCAGUUACCAAGUUACCAAGUUACCGCAGGAUUCGGGAGCUUCUCACUGGCGCGGCCGCAGCCAAUCAGAGAGCAGCGCCGCUGUUCUCGGGCAGGAGGCCUGGAGACACGCGCACCUUCCCCCGACACCCAGCGAAGCGCGCUGACACAAUCACGGCGGCGCGCGCACACGCACUGUCCCGGGGACAUGCGGCGUCGCCCCUCCGCACACGCUCAAUCGCAGCGACACACACAGUGACAUACACAGCAUCACACCGACACACAAAAUCUCAAUGGAAGACACGAACGCGGACCUGGGACACAGCAGCGCUACCCAGAUCCACAAGCACGGCAGUGACACACAGCAUUCCUGGAGCACAUGUGACCCUCCGUGACAUACUGCACAGUCUUCCCAACACACACAACAUCGCACUGAUACACAGUAUCAUUGACACACGCAAUCACAGUGACACCCUCAUAGGCCCACACCCGGCUGGUCCCGGUGCACAUACUAUCACAGUGACACACUCACUGGACACGAUUAGUGAGACACCAUAUCGUAUACGCACCCUGUCACUGAUCCACGGACACACAACAUCACCCAGACAAGCACAGCCACAGUGACACACAAUCACACUUACCAUGGCACUGCACAGUCCCACAGACAACAGUGUCACGGCGCCACAGUCCCACCUCACACAGCCGCACUACCACAAGAGUACAGUGGUUCAACUUACUUGCAAACUUUCCCACUCAUGCUACAUGUCACUGUAGCGCAUAUACAACCUCGGUGCCACACAAUCACAACCGCAAGGGCACACACCGCCUCACAGAGGCACGCACUGCGCUCACACGGCACACCAGAGCGUUCCACAGUAGCGUAUGGACACGCGACGUUGUCACGGCAGCUUCCUACACGUGUAGCACUGUGACAGACGUAGCGUGCUGUGCUGACAUACGCAUCACACUAACACACGACUGUGACACACUAGCACACGGACACAACCAUCAUCCCAACGCCAGGCUCCUAACACAGCACACUGACCGCAGCCCUACAGAAACCUCUCCAGCACACGCGCGCGCGCGCGCCCUUGCCCUGGAAGCUGGGUGUGAUGAGGGAUGCUGGGGGAGGGACGCUGGAUGGGCUGCUGUGUGUGUUUGUGUACAUGUGCUUCAGCGAUCCCUCCCCCUUCUUGCCCUUCCUGGGGGCGGGGCCGCGCGCGCUGCAGCCGCUGUUACCGGGUAAACUUCCCGCCCCCCCCAGCGCGGCCAUUAGUCAACCCCCCCAGGAUGAUGUCAUCGCCUCAUUCUGGAGGCUGAGUAAUCCUCGACUCCGCCCCCCGCAGGUACCAGGGUAGGGGCGGGCCGCACCUGGGCGCACAGUGGUCCGGCGCUGAGGUCCGGAGCUUCCGUUUUCUGCCAGGCUCUCCCUGCGAUGGGUACUGAGGAACUGGGUCCUCUCGAGUGGUCCAAGGGUGCACAUCAGGGUCCCUAGAGGCUGGGGACUUCCGGCGCUGAUUCAUACUGGCCAGCUAAUGGUACUGACAGGCUGACCCUCCUGGCCUGGAGUCUUGGGCCUCCCAGGAGUCUGGCACUAGGGAGCCCCCAUCCCCGACCCCCCGCUGCCACCACCACUGGAAGGGGCUGGGUCGCCGCGCCAGGGUCCUGAGAGCUCCAAGUUUAGACUCCAGGUGGGGGCCAAGGAGUAGAGAAAGCAGCUCUGAGGUCAGGCGUCCUGGUCUUGGAGAUCAACAAGUUGGACCCUGGGGAAAGGGCUCCGCGGGGAGGGAGGGGCAAGUCUGCGCCUUGGGGCUGGGCAGGGGCUCACACAGGGAGGACCCGGAGCAUCUCCCACUUCAUCCUGGGGAGACCAGGGUGCCCAGGCCUUCUGAGGCCUCUUAGGGCCUGGGACCCAGGGCCUGGGUGUUCCAGUGGGCCUAGGGUGUUCUAGACAAGCCUGGGUCCCCUUGGGAAAGGGACUCUGAGUCCUUGGUUCCUGGGGCCAGAACACCAGCCUUCCUUGGGGGAAGGGGACUCCUACCCUUGUUUCCAUGAGUCCAGACCUGCCUGGCUCCUUUGGGGGGAGGAGCACCCCUAUUUUUUAUCGGGCCAGGACACCUGGGUUCUCUCCUUGACAGCUCCUAUUUUCAAAAGCCACAAGGCUUGAAUCCCGAUGGAGGUGAGGACAAACCAGUCCCUGUCCUCACAGGGUCGGGAUGCGACUUGGACGGGGACCCUUGGUGACUAUCUUCACGGCACCUCCCGGAGGGAGGGACAGCACGCGCAGACCCUGUUCCCAGGGUAUCCCAAGCGCCCAUCCUUGUCCCCAGGGGAGGAGAGGGGGUAGGCAAAUGGAGGGGCGCAGCCCGGGUCUCACCCCAGCCGGCCUGAGCCGCGAGCCUGGCAGCUCCCCGGGGCC